CUCUCGGUAGAUAAUUGAAUACCUUGAGACUAUACUAACAUGUUACCUCAACAUUCAUGGUAUUCCUGUAUCUUGUAGCACACUAUUUGAGAGAGAGAGGACCUUUAUGAAGAAGAGAAAAAUGUACCUUCCUCUGUUUAAGGAGCAAGAGCUGUCACCAGUACUCGAGUCCAACCUGUCAGAUAACAGCGCGUCCGACUACCAGCAUCUUGUGCGUGACUCGUUCAGCCCGCUCUCAGUCGCCUCACCAGUGAGCGUCAGCUCAGCAGGGCUGUUCCCUUCCCAUCAGCCCUCACGAGCACACACAACACCUCACCCUUGGGGCAUCAAACAGCCCGAGCAAAACCAGUUUAAUCCCUACUUCCAACCCAGUGGAGGGAGAGAGAGCAACCGUUGGUCAGGAGAUCAGGCAGGGACAUCAGCUCACACACACACCAACAUACCAGUUACCAGAGUCCAGUUUGGAGGAAUAGAGACAAUGUAAGCAUGUGUGAGUGUGUGUGUGUGUGUGUAUUUGUGUGUGUGUGUGAGAGAGUGUGUAUGAGAAAUAAAGAUAUAAAUGAGAGAUAGAUAUCACAGUCCAUGUUUUGGAGGCAAAGAGACAAUGGAAGCAUUUGUGUGUGUGCAAGAGAGAGGGAGAGUCCAUUU